UACGUAGGGGCCUAGCGUUGUCCGGAUUUAUUGGGCGUAAAGAGCUCGUAGGCGGUUUGGUUAGUCAGGUGUGAAAUCUCCACGCUCAACGUGGAGGGGCCACCUGAUACUGCCAUGACUUGAGUCCGGUAGGGGAGUGUGGAAUUCCCGGUGUAGCGGUGAAAUGCGCAGAUAUCGGGAAGAACACCCGUGGCUAAGGCGGCUCUCUAGUACGGUACUGACGCUGAGACGCGAAAGCGUGGGGAGCGAACAGG
rnacentral:rRNA from 1 species